rnacentral:rRNA from 1 species
ACCCGCUGAAUUUAAGCAUAUCAGUAAGCGGAGGAAAAGAAAACAACAGUGAUUCCCUCAGUAACUGCGAGUGAAGCGGGAAGAGCCCAACGUUGAAUCGCUUCUGUCCCUCACCGGACUGCGAGUAUGUAUCGCGAGCGAGUUGUGACGUAAGGACGCAUUGCACCGAGUCUGUACGUGUCGCCAAAGUUUUCCUGGAAAGGAGCGCCAUAGAGGGUGAUAGCCCCGUGUGAGGCGACAUGAGUGCUGUGUUAGUGCAGGCUCGCUUGUGUGCUCGAACAUGCAAGUGUGGCAGUGUGUUCCAUGAGUCGGGUUGUUUGAGAUUGCAGCCCAAAGGGGGUGGUAGACUCCACCCAAGGCUAAAUACUGGCACAAAACCGAUAGCGAACAAGUACCGUGAGGGAAAGUUGAAAAGCAUUCCGAAAGGAAGGUUAAAAGGACGUGAAACCGUUAAAGGGGAAGCGGAUGGAUGGGUCGAACCGCCGUCCCACCGGGCCAGCGUCAUGUGUUACUACUGGUGCAUGUGGCGUACUCAGUGCCCAUUGUGGUGUGGAGGAGCCGAAACAGUCGUUGCGAGUACGGCCAGGACAGGCUGGGCAGUUGAUCUGUGGCAUCCGCCACUUAGCCCUGUGCAAGCAGGGUGUUAGCGUGUGGGCCAUGCCACAGAUCGGCUGUUACCUGUAAGUGUGCUCCGGUGUCAAAGCCGGCGUCCACAUAUUAAUGUGAUGCUCAUGGUUCGCCAAAAGGCUCUGUCAUCAUGUGUGGCAGGGCCCAGCAGUGACCGCAAUCAAGUGACCUGGUGCUCAGCACACCCAGGUGGUGUGCGCGAGUAAAAGAUUCGUUUGUGAUGACUGAGAAAUUGCGCCGUUGAGGCGAUGCUGUGUGUUCCCACCGGUGUGAAUUGCAUCGCGAUGAGUGGAACAAGGGCGCGUAAUGUGUGCCACGUCCCCUGGGAGAGGGGUGCCCGCUGUGAGUUGCAAUAUAUGAACAGCGGGUGUCCUACAUCGGACCUCAUCCAGAGGAUCCGAUCUGAGUGGUGAUAUCCCAGUCGUGCGGGGUGGCGCCGCACCAGCAUGUGCUUGCAGUGAUGUGAGUAUGUGAGGGUGUGUGUGCCGCUGCGAUUGUGGAUGAGACCUCCGGUCUGCACGCUUGCAGCGACCCCUCUGUCCAUGUGGCAGGGGUGUGGGUGCGCGGACUUCCAGCUGUGGGAAUGACCCGCAAGGGUUGGCCAGCUACAUCUCGCCGCUCUCCCAGCGAUAAUUGAGACCCAUGGUUAAACAAUUGUCACACUUCGGUGUACGGCAUCACAUUUACACCAACUGUAAAUUAGCCAGGACGUGGAUACGCGUUUCCGUCAUCAUCCCCAAAAGAUGGUGGCGGUGAGAAUGAUAAUGAAACACAGCUAGUUUUCGGCGAGACACCAAUCCAUCCGACCCGUCUUGAAACACGGACCAAGGAGCCUAACAUAUGCGCGAGUCAAAGGGUGAUAGAAACCCAGUACGUGUAGCGUAACACGAGGCACCCCGGGGCCUUACCAGGGCCACUAACCGUGGGUGUGCUUGCAGUGUGUGACUCAUGAGGCAUAAUGAAAGUGACCACCAGCAGUGGUGAUGAGAUGGGAUCCGGCUGAGGACUUAUGUGCACAUGGGCCUCGGGCCAUGUGUCCGGGGCAAAUGUGCAUGUCGGUGUGCAGAACACGACCCAGUACGGCGCACCAUCAGCCGGUCUGUAUGUAGGUACAGAUUGAGCGAGAGCGCGUAUGCUAGAACCCGAAAGAUGGUGAACUAUUCCUGGGUAGGGCGAAGCCGGAGGAAACUCCGGUGGAGGCUCGCAGCGAUUCUGACGUGCAAAUCGAUCGUCAAACCUGGGUAUAGGGGCGAAAGACUAAUCGAACCAUCUAGUAGCUGGUUCCUUCCGAAAUAUCCCUCAGGAUCGCUGAGACCUGAAGUAAAACAAUCAUGUGUUGUGUGCGUACGUGUUGCCAUGUGGGUGUGCGGGUUCGCUCGUAUGCCUGCAUGGUGGGUGCGUAGUAUGCACGUGAGAGUACGGUAGUUUCAUCGGGUAGAGCUAAUGAUUAGAGUGAUUUGGGAGUUAAUGCUCCUGGAACUAUUCUCAAACUGCCAACCGGUGAUGACUGCCAGUGAUUUCUUAGAUGUCCUCUGCGGACGACCGUUCGGUGAUACAGGCAGGCUGUGCGCAGCCUGUCUGGUCCGUGGAGGGUGGCCCCAAUUGGCCAGUGAGACAGCCAUCCUGUUUAUGACGUCGUGGCCUGUGCGUGUGUCGGGUGUCUGCAGCAAUGUGGAUGCUUGGUGUGUGUGCAGGCCUGGCGUGUAGUGGCAGGGUGGCCUGUCAGUGGUGAUCGUGCUGUGCGCGAUGCCCCUCACGGGGUAUCGCGUGUGUGUGUCAGGAGGUGCGUUGGAAGCGCAUCAUGCUUUGGUCCUCACAGCUGGGACACGGUGUGCCACUGCGCUCAUUGGUUGCGUUCGGGGCUGCGCCUGCUGAAGGGCAGGAGCGUGAGAUGAAUCACUGGCUUUCUCGGUGCAUCAGUGGUAAAACACUGUGUUUAGAUUGUGCCGAGACUGCGUUAGCGUGCGCAGGAAGUGAAUACCAGGGUCUCAAGUGGGCCGUUUCUGGUAAGCAGAACUGGCGAUGCGGGAUGAA